GGCGUGCCUAAUACAUGCAAGUCGAGCGGACUUGAUGGAGCUUGCUCCAUUAAGUUAGCGGCGGACGGGUGAGUAACACGUGGGCAACCUGCCUGUAAGACUGGGAUAACUCCGGGAAACCGGAGCUAAUACCGGAUAGUAUCUUGAACCGCAUGGUUCAAGUUGGAAAGACGGUUUCGGCUGUCACUUACAGAUGGGCCCGCGGCGCAUUAGCUAGUUGGUGAGGUAAUGGCUCACCAAGGCAACGAUGCGUAGCCGACCUGAGAGGGUGAUCGGCCACACUGGGACUGAGACACGGCCCAGACUCCUACGGGAGGCAGCAGUAGGGAAUCUUCCGCAAUGGACGAAAGUCUGACGGAGCAACGCCGCGUGAGUGAUGAAGGUUUUCGGAUCGUAAAACUCUGUUGUUAGGGAAGAACAAGUGCGAGAGUAACUGCUCGCACCUUGACGGUACCUAACCAGAAAGCCACGGCUAACUACGUGCCAGCAGCCGCGGUAAUACGUAGGUGGCAAGCGUUGUCCGGAAUUAUUGGGCGUAAAGCGCGCGCAGGCGGUUUCUUAAGUCUGAUGUGAAAGCCCCCGGCUCAACCGGGGAGGGUCAUUGGAAACUGGGAAACUUGAGUGCAGAAGAGGAGAGUGGAAUUCCACGUGUAGCGGUGAAAUGCGUAGAGAUGUGGAGGAACACCAGUGGCGAAGGCGACUCUCUGGUCUGUAACUGACGCUGAGGCGCGAAAGCGUGGGGAGCGAACAGGAUUAGAUACCCUGGUAGUCCACGCCGUAAACGAUGAGUGCUAAGUGUUAGAGGGUUUCCGCCCUUUAGUGCUGCAGCUAACGCAUUAAGCA
rnacentral:rRNA from 2 species